rnacentral:rRNA from 1 species
UACAGAGGUCCCAAGCGUUGUUCGGAUUCACUGGGCGUAAAGGGUGCGUAGGCGGUUUGAUAAGUCUGAUGUGAAAUCCCGCAGCUUAACUGCGGAACUGCAUUGGAAACUAUUUGACUAGAGGAAUGGAGGGGAGACUGGAAUACUUGGUGUAGCAGUGAAAUGCGUAGAUAUCAAGUGGAACACCAGUGGCGAAGGCGAGUCUCUGGACACUUCCUGACGCUGAGGCACGAAAGCCAGGGGAGCAAACGGG